AUUGAACGCUGGCGGCAUGCCUUACACAUGCAAGUCGAACGGCAGCACGGGAGCAAUCCUGGUGGCGAGUGGCGAACGGGUGAGUAAUAUAUCGGAACGUGCCCAGUCGUGGGGAUAACGUAGCGAAAGCUACGCUAAUACCGCAUACGAUCUACGGAUGAAAGCGGGGGAUCGCAAGACCUCGCGCGAUUGGAGCGGCCGAUAUCAGAUUAGGUAGUUGGUGAGGUAAAGGCUCACCAAGCCGACGAUCUGUAGCUGGUCUGAGAGGACGACCAGCCACACUGGGACUGAGACACGGCCCAGACUCCUACGGGAGGCAGCAGUGGGGAAUUUUGGACAAUGGGCGCAAGCCUGAUCCAGCAAUGCCGCGUGCAGGAUGAAGGCCCUCGGGUUGUAAACUGCUUUUGUACGGAACGAAAGGUUUCUCUUAAUACGAGGAGCUCAUGACGGUACCGUAAGAAUAAG
rnacentral:rRNA from 1 species